CACGGGAUGAUAAGCGGGAAAAGUGACUAUUCGCUGAGAAUUUAUGUGUUUUGAUCGGAGAAAUUAGACAACUCGUAAUCUCAAAAGUUUUCAUUAAGAUAACAGCAUUCAUUUCUAUGGUUUUGAGAUCAAUCUGAUUUCAAAAGACAAUCUUCUACACUGUCUUUAAUGUCCUUUCGAGUUAGGGAUUGCUAUCUCUGUAUGUAUAAUCAAGUGGUGCAGUGCGUAUAUAAUCCAUUGCACAUGCACACAUCACCAGUUGUUUUUCCUUGUUGUAUCAAGCACAUGAUACUUAAAGGGAAUAACAUGAAAGAGUGAAGAAGAAUGAUGGAGUAGUUUCGGAGAAGAUGGAGGACUUUUGGGGUUGCAUUGUCAUGGAAUAUGAUUCAAGCAAUUGCAGGAGAUGAUCAAAAGUCUUUGAGCUUUGGUCCUUGCUUCACCAAGAACAAGACUUUUUUUAGUUUUCUUCAAAAGCUUAGCAAAAGUCAAAAACCUAAGCUGAUUUUGUGUGUUUUUAAUCUCAUAUUCAUUGCAUAUUUUUUGUUAUGGAUGGAAUAUUUUAGUUAGCUGAUAAUAUUAACCAAAUAUAAUAAUUAUUUUAAAUAUCGAAAAUUAUAUGAGGUUCUUGUUGUUGUUGUUGGUCUUUUCGACUUUCUGCUUAAACCCAGAAAAAUGGAUUCACAGCU